rnacentral:rRNA from 1 species
GGGCCCGCACAAGCAGUGGAGCAUGUGGUUUAAUUCGAUGCAACGCGAAGAACCUUACCAGGCCUUGACAUCCUCGGAACUUUCUAGAGAUAGAUUGGUGCCUUCGGGAACCGAGUGACAGGUGCUGCAUGGCUGUCGUCAGCUCGUAUCGUGAGAUGUUGGGUUAAGUCCCGUAACGAGCGCAACCCACAUCCCUAGUUGCCAGCAGUUCGGCUGGGCACUCUAUGGAAACUGCCCGUGAUAAGCGGGAGGAAGGUGUGGAUGACGUCAAGUCCUCAUGGCCCUUACGGGUUGGGCUACACACGUGCUACAAUGGUAGUGACAAUGGGUUAAUCCCAAAAAGCUAUCUCAGUUCGGAUUGUCGUCUGCAACUCGACGGCAUG